AGCUUUGUGCAGUGGCAGUAUCAUAGCCAAUUAGGUUUAUGCCAGGUGUGAUUAUUUUUAAUUGAAAACUAAAUUAUACACAG
rnacentral:snRNA from 1 species